rnacentral:pre_miRNA from 1 species
AGUCCCAGGGUGCACUGCACCUUUUUCUUAACUUCAGAUAAGAGCAUUGCAUGCUGGGAUAUG